rnacentral:misc_RNA from 1 species
UUUCCGUAGGUGAACCUGCGGAAGGAUCAUUAACGAGUUAGGGUCUUCCAGGCCCGACCUCCCAACCCUAUGUUUAUUGAACCUCUGUUGCUUCGGCGGACCCGCCUCACGGCCGCCGGAGGACCGCUGCUAGGCGUCCUCUGGCCAGCGUCCGCCGAUGGCCAACCACUUAAACUCUGAAUGAAUCGUGUCAUAUGUCUAAGUCUAUGAUUAAAUUAAAGCAAAACUUUCAACAACGGAUCUCUUGGUUCUG